rnacentral:rRNA from 1 species
GCUCAGAACGAACGCUGGCGGCAGGCUUAACACAUGCAAGUCGAACGCCCCGCAAGGGGAGUGGCAGACGGGUGAGUAACGCGUGGGAAUCUACCGUGCCCUGCGGAAUAGCUCCGGGAAACUGGAAUUAAUACCGCAUACGCCCUACGGGGGAAAGAUUUAUCGGGGUAUGAUGAGCCCGCGUUGGAUUAGCUAGUUGGUGGGGUAAAGGCCUACCAAGGCGACGAUCCAUAGCUGGUCUGAGAGGAUGAUCAGCCACAUUGGGACUGAGACACGGCCCAAACUCCUACGGGAGGCAGCAGUGGGGAAUAUUGGACAAUGGGCGCAAGCCUGAUCCAGCCAUGCCGCGUGAGUGAUGAAGGCCUUAGGGUUGUAAAGCUCUUUCACCGGAGAAGAUAAUGAC